CUGGAAGCACCGCCCCUAAAUGGUCAUGCUGAUGGGAGGGAGAGGAAAUGGAAUUCCCCCGACGGGUUAGAGCGCGCGCCGACACAUCGGUCUUUCACGCGCCCAAUCAGGAAUGUGCGGUGGGCGGUACCACGGUCUAAUUACUAGAUACCUUUAGUCCUGCUUGAUGCGGACUUUUGAAGCUUUCGGUGAAGCAGGUGAGCGGUAUUUACUCGCUUGCCUGUGUGGGCUGGUUAACCAGUAGGAGGAGGCACCUUUCGAAAUGGAAACAGUCAUUUUAAGUAGAACCUGGUGGACCGCUGAUCAGCGCUCUCACGUGCCAAAAUGUAGCGCGUUUCUGACCUAGAAGGUCAGUACUGAAAGAAGUGGGCCCAUGCAGCCCUUCCCAGAAUUACAGCAGGCUGGAAAUCAAAUGCAACUAUGAAUUAACAUAAAGGAUGGGGAGAUAGGGGUGGGGUAUUUAUUUGCCUCUCACGGUCCGCCAAGAUUGAGGUACGGGCAUAGACUAAAUAUAUUUUUCUUCUUUUUGUUCUGUUCCAUUUUCUAGAUCCACAAAAUUGGCAAAACUUAAGAGAUCAGAGUUUGGGGUCUCAACUGAAAUAAGGGGGGGGGCAGAAAUAGAAAGAUAGAAUUGGCCUGUUUUAAUCUUCCCGGUGUAAAAUACGGAGAUGGUGGUUUUGCUCUCUAGUGUAUCCUUCAGGCAAAGGGUAGUAGGACAUUCAGGAAUAAAGAACGGCAAUAAAGAAAUGAAUAAAUGGGAUAAAGAACCCAAGGUUGCAAGAGUGGUAGGAAACAUUCCUACCUACCCAAAGGCAACUCACAAUAUCCAGGAGUUCAUAAAGAAAAAUCCCAGAUAAGCCAAUUUGUAUUACCCUAAUCUAAACAGUCUUUCAGUAUGAAAGUUCCAUAUAAUGGAACAUGUUAAUGCUCUUAAUUAACAAAGCACAGCAGACUGGGACAAAUUUGAGGUCAGAGUUCUUAACUUUUGUGCGACAGACCACGCUGGCAGUCUGGUGUAGCCAUGGACUCUUCUAAGAAUAAUGUUUCUAAAUGUUUAAAAUAAAAUUCAUAGCAAUGGUAAUAAUAUGAUAUAAAGUAUCUCAUUCCUAGUGGUGAUACAGACAUAGGUAUAGCUGUUUGUUGCUUACAUUCAAAAUUGAAGACAAUGGUAAAUUUCAGUUAGAGAUUAGUAAAAAUAAAGAUGUUUUUUUUCUCCUCCAUCAAAGUCCACAUACUCCCUGGAUUCUAUCCAAGAACUUCAUGAUAAAAACUUUUUGGUAAAGUCUAGUGGGCUUACUCUUCUUAGUGAGCCUUGAGGGGAUUGUAAAAUUUUAACAUGCAGUUAUAAUUUAUAUUCAUAACAGUAGUGAUUAAUUUAAAAAAGCUUAAUUACUACCAAUAUACUCAUUAAGAGUGCAUGGAAGUACAUACUAGUUUUAGGAAAUAGUUUUAUUUCAUUUGUUGAUUUUUUUAAAAAAACUAAACCUAUAAAUAUAUCCUAUAGAAGACUUUCCUGUCCAGAUAACUUAUUCCCCAAGCAUUCUGGUAGGUUUUACUAUGUCAUUCUUACUUAUCACAUACCUUUGCAAAUACAAUGUGGUAGAAGAAGUAAAAUGAAAAUAAUAGCCAAAGAUUAAAUUAAAAUACUGUA